GAAAAGAUCGGGAAAGUUUUAUUGAGGAACUGUUUUUCCAGGAACCCCUGGCAUGGUUACAUCUGGAGAACCACAGCAUGAACAAGAUUAUGGAGAAAGGAAUCAGCGUUGUUUAUAUGGGGAACCAUGAGAAACCCCGUGCAGCUGGAGUGGCGGCCUCGCAUAUCAAAUAGACAGAGGCAUUUUUCCACUGUGGACACCAGACCAGGUAUGGACAGAAUGCAAAGGAGACUCCAAGUCUGUCUGGAUUUUGUUUUCUGAAAGCUGAAGUCUAGAAGAAUUUGAAGAAAUGAUGGAAGAGUUUAAAAAAAAAAGAAUGAUGCUUGAAAGGUAUGGAACUUUCUGAGGGUCUUGCUCUAUCACCCAGGCUGG
rnacentral:lncRNA from 1 species